UACGUAGGGUGCAGGCGUUAAUCGGAAUUCCUGGGCGUAAAGCGUGCGCAGGCGGUUUGCUAAGACAGGUGUGAAAUCCCCGGGCUUAACCUGGGAACUGCGCUUGUAACUGGCAAGCUUGAGUGUGGCAGAGGGGGGUGGAAUUCCACGUGUAGCAGUGAAAUGCGUAGAGAUGUGGAGGAACACCGAUGGCGAAGGCAGCCCCCUGGGCUAACACUGACGCUCAUGCACGAAAGCGUGGGGAGCAAACAGG
rnacentral:rRNA from 1 species